UACGGGGGGGGCAAGCGUUGUUCGGAAUUACUGGGCGUAAAGAGCUCGUAGGCGGCCAACUAAGUCAGACGUGAAAUCCCUCGGCUUAACCGGGGAACUGCGUCUGAUACUGGAUGGCUUGAAUCCGGGAGAGGGAUGCGGAAUUCCAGGUGUAGCGGUGAAAUGCGUAGAUAUCUGGAGGAACACCGGUGGCGAAGGCGGCAUCCUGGACCGACACUGACGCUGAGGAGCGAAAGCCAGGGGAGCAAACGGG
rnacentral:rRNA from 1 species